AACGAACGCUGGCGGCAGGCUUAACACAUGCAAGUCGAACGCGCCCUUCGGGGCGAGUGGCAGACGGGUGAGUAACGCGUGGGAACCUACCUUUUGGUACGGGAUAACUCAGGGAAACUUGAGCUAAUACCGUAUGUGCCCUUAUCCUUGAUCGGGUUUGGGGAAAGAUUCAUCGCCAAAGGAUGGGGCCCGCGUCGGAUUAGCUAGGUGGUGGGGUAACGGCCUACCAAGGCGACGAUCCGUAGCUGGUCUGAGAGGAUGAGCAGCCACAAUGGGACUGAGACACGGCCCAGACUCCUACGGGAGGCAGCAGUGGGGAAUAUUGGACAAUGGGAGCAACCCUGAUCCAGCCAUGACGCGUGAGUGAUGAAGGCCUUAGGGUUGUAAAGCUCUUUCGCCGGUGAAGAUGAUGACGGUAACCGGAGAAGAAGCCCCGGCUAACUUCGUGCCAGCCGCCGCGGUAACAC
rnacentral:rRNA from 1 species